rnacentral:lncRNA from 1 species
AAGUUUGACACCAGUCUAACCAAGGGGUAUCGGGUUGCCCGGGUAACUGGGUUGAGGAGGUCAGAUAGGCAGUCGCUUCUUGUGGCACACUGGUACUCAGCUGCAUCCGGUUAGACUGGAAGCCGACCCCAACAUAGUUGGGAAAAAGGCUCGGAGGAUGAUGAUGACCAUAUGUACGUAAUAAAUCAAUUGAUUGUAAUAAACGUAAUUUAUAAUUAGCAAUUUUAUUUAAAGCUUUAAGAAAACCAGUAAAUAAUUUAUAUUAAUAGACUCUUUUACCUAAUGUUUCGAGCUUUUUUUUCAAAAAACGUAUCUAAAAUUUAGUCCUACAGUAAUCUCAAGCCACUUACAUUAAAAAUACGAAACACGUAGUUUACACAAAAAUAUUUCAAGAUAAUAACAAUAUACGUUAUAUAUAGCUUUCUAUAUGUUCUAGCUUAUUCUACACUCGUUGUAAGCGUAAAAAUAUCUCUUUAAGUAUAUAAAAAAAAAACUGUCUUCAAAGUUGGUUUAUAAAAAUUCGCGUUUCUGUAUGAAUAUUGCUAUUAGAAUGUUUUGUUUGUUAAAGAAAUACGGAUUUCUAGUAUUCACUUUAUGUAGAUAGUAAAAUAAUGUUUAUUUUACAUUAUUGUAAAGUCCUCUUUUUAUUAACGACGCUAUAAAUCAUCAAAUGACCCCUCCCGCUGUGGGUUAGCAGCGGUGAGGGAGUGUCAGACUCUUACUGACUAAAAACCGUCGUGUUCCUUCGUAGGCCUUUUAUGUACCAGGGCCGCGGUAACUCGCGCGAAUAAUCCCGCUGCCCAUUGUAAAGCGAAAAUCUCAAAUAAUACUGCACGUAUUGACAUUUUUUUCAUUCGAUUUUAUAGUGAUUUUUGAGGCAGCUUUUGGUAUAUAAUUUAUACUCAUAUAAAGACGGGAUGAAACGCUAUAAUAAUUUCAAUAAAUGAUAACAAAUUAUGCAGUUCACGCUUGACUAAAUAAAACUAUACUUUUAUUUUAACCAUUCAGCUAUUGACAGCAACGUUAAACGCCUAUAAUAACGAUAAUAACAGUUACUCUUAGUAACGGUUAUUUUGAAAUAACAGUUAUUUUCAAUAACGUUAUAUGUAACUUAUGAGAUAUACAAUAAUGAACAAUUUUGUAUCUAAGUUAUUUGUGUUGCCAUAAUUAUUGUAAUAUAAUACCCUUUUUUAUUGUAUAGCAACAUUAGUGAUACUCAUUUUUAAUUGUAAAUAAUUUAGUUUUUUAGUUUUGACCGUUUUUUUUGUCGUACGACAUUUUCGCUUGCGUUUUUUAACCGUCCUUCAUAAAAUUAUGAUUAUACUCCUUUUGAGUAGGCACUUAGGAUUUUUUACAGAAAUACAUAAUAAAUUAAAUAAAUAAACUACUGCUUAAAAUAAUGACUCAAUUGAUUUAUUUUAAGUAACUAUUACCGUCUUACCACAGAUACUUUUAAACGUCAGUUUAAGACUUGUCUAAAAAAAUGACAGAUUAUGACGCUGACAUAUGAUUCAUUUUGCAGCCACAAUUUUUUUAGACAAGUGUAAAACAGACGUUUAAGUUUUUGUAGUAAGGCCAUUAUUAUUGUAUUUUAUUUAGCCAUUUUUUUACUGAGUUUUUAAAUAAAAUCGUGUUAGGAUUGUUUAUUCUUAAUUAAUUGCUUACUCAAAUGGAGUAUGAAACAGUAACUAAAUAAAAAAAUGAAUUUUCAAAGUAUUAUUUGGAUCUAGUAAUAUUAUUUUACGCAAUCAAUAACUAUGUCGUACGACAAAAAAUGGCGGUCCCACAAAAUUGUCUGCCUUAUAGCAAGUAGGUACAUGGAGAAAUGCCUAGCGGAGAUGACAUAACGGAAAAUCUACUAAGAAAGUAGCGCGACAACAUGCGGGUGUUCGGGGGACGAGGAACGUUACUAGCUCCGCCCUUAUACGCCUUCUUUGGGACCCCGCCCAUUUUUCAACACGCUUAUAUUAGCUAUUAAAAAAAAAAACCUGAUAAAAAGGUGAAGGAAAACAUUUUGAGGAAACCUGGACUAUUAAGUCUGAAAUCAGCAACCCGCAUUGAGCAAGCGUGGUGAUUAAUGCUCAAUCCUUCUCCGUGUGAGAGGAGGCCGCAGCCCAGCAGUGGGACGAUACAAAGGCUGUAACAGUAACAGUAU